rnacentral:rRNA from 1 species
GAUGAACGCUGGCGGCGUGCUUAACACAUGCAAGUCGAACGGAAAGGCUCCUGCUUGCUGGGGUACUCGAGUGGCGAACGGGUGAGUAACACGUGGGUGAUCUGCCCUGCACUUCGGGAUAAGCCUGGGAAACUGGGUCUAAUACCGGAUAGGACGAUGGUCUGGAUGCCAUUGUGGAAAGUUUUUUCGGUGUGGGAUGAGCUCGCGGCCUAUCAGCUUGUUGGUGGGGUAAUGGCCUACCAAGGCGUCGACGGGUAGCCGGCCUGAGAGGGUGUACGGCCACAUUGGGACUGAGAUACGGCCCAGACUCCUACGGGAGGCAGCAGUGGGGAAUAUUGCACAAUGGGCGCAAGCCUGAUGCAGCGACGCCGCGUGGGGGAUGACGGCCUUCGGGUUGUAAACUCCUUUCGCUAGGGACGAAGCGCAAGUGACGGUACCUGGAGAAGAAGCACCGGCUAACUACGUG